rnacentral:tRNA from 1 species
CAGAGGCGAAGCUAAAUAGUUAGCGUCUCCCUUACACCGAGAAGGCACCUGUGCAAAUCAGGCCCCUCUGA